AGUGCCAGACUGGCUUGUCAGAGGACACGAGGUCUCGGUGGACGGAAAGGUCUGCCGGACGUGGCGACUGACACACGCCUUAGCCCAAGCUGUCACCUGGACAGCAAAGCCAUUUCCAGAUGGUAACACGGAGGUGCCAGCGAGGGCAGGGAGGCCGCGGGGGCAGGAGGAUGCUCCUGGGCGCUGCUACGGUGCAAGCCGAGCGCAGCUGGAGCAGAGCCGCUCGGAGCAGGUGUGCUCUGCCUGGAACAGAUGCGUUAUGGAGGCUUUCAAAAACAUAACUGACACGAGGAGGAAGAGGAGGGGGGCCAGCGGGGGCACCGCUGGAGCAACAGCUGCCGGGGAGGGAACCGCCGCACGCCGAGGCCGGGGAUGAAGGAAGCCACUUCACAUGUGAUAUGGUCUUGCUCAAAAGUUUCACUUCAUAACAAACAGUCCACAGUCCCUGCACUGAGGCUCAGCACACUGCACAAAGCCAGACUUACCGGAAGAUGAUAAUCAAGAAAUUAUUUUAUUAGUUUUAAAUAUAGCCCUCUCAAUUUUUGACUGUACUAACUGCAUGGUAAAUACAGUUUACCUCUGCAGAGAACCACGCUGAGAAAAUUGCGUGUGAGACUACACUACUGUGAAAUGCUCAAUAUGGGGGCUACACUCAGAAGACGGAACUCAUGUAGGAGGCAGCAGCCUGUUUGCUAAAUUCUGUUUCACAUCAUCUUAUGCUGAUGCUUUCAUUCUGCACUAGCUUUUUAUUAGCCUCCUGAUGAUGACUGAAGUGUUAGUUUGCAUUGAAUUGUUUACAGCCCGGCCACCAUGUAAAGACUUGUCCUUUAACAUGACAGUACACCCAUAGGGAUUUGACACGGAUACAUUAAGGUUGAUAUGAUAAGGUACGAAUGGCAAUGUGCAAGUGUGAAAUCACCAAGAAACAACAAGAAUGGGCAAAGGAAUGGUAUGUGCACCUUCUGAAGGCACCCAGGCCUGGAAAACCAAGGGCUGCCUCGUGGGUGGAUCUCAAACUUCUGCUGGAGGCAGUUUUUCUCCUGCUCUGACUCCCAGAUGAACCUCAGAUCUGUACUGGAAGUAGCUUGUCUCCAGCCAUGCUUCCUCGGUGGACCUUGAACCUAUGCUGUAGCUUCACCUUCAGUCUCAUCUCCUGGGUGGACUUUGAACCCAUAUUGCAGCCUUUUUUCAAGCCAUGUCUCUGGUCUGAUCUCCUGCUGCUCCUAGAUGGCCCCUGGACAUGAUUCAUUAACUUUGCCUUAUUUGGGACUGUUUAUGGACCCUGUUAGCUGUACCCAGGUCUGCGUGCCAUGUUUAGGGACAGCACCCAGUCAGUGAAAGCAUUGCCUGUGCUGGGUCACUCUCAGCUCCUGCCCUGCACCACAGAGAGUCCUGUUGAGGCUACAUGGCUGCACACAUCUCCAUCCUCAUACACAUGAAAGAAGGAGUGAUAGUCUGUGAGAGAAAAUAUGCAUGAAACCAGUUUAAAAUAAAAUAAACUUCCCUUUCUAUGUGGUUUUACAUUGGAGCUGAACAUAAGAAAAGGAAACACUCAAGAUACCUCUGAUCUGGUCUGAUCUGAUCUGAUAGAGAGGUGCAGGUUUCUUCAUGUCCUUGAUUCUGGAGGUUGUUUCCUGAUAACAUGCAAAAGAGAUUGGGUUUCUUAAUCUCGGAGGGUGGGGGUGCUUCAUAAUCUGGGCAUAAGUAUCUUCAGCGCAAAAAGAGGAUGAGAUGAAGAGGUGUAGUAGGUAGAGGAGCGGAGUUUCAAGAAACAGUUUAUUUUAGGUUGCUUUCAUUCAGCAGCUUGUUAUAUUGUUUUUAUUUUUCACAGAAUCACAGAAUGUCAGGGAUUGGAAGGGACUUCAAAAGAUCAUCUAGUCCAAUCCCCUUGCCAGAGCAGGAACACCUAGAUGAGGCUACAUAGGAAGGUGUCCAGGCAGGUUUUGAAUGUCUCCAGAGUAGGAGACUCCACAACCCCCCUGGGCAGCCUGUUCCAGUGUCUGUCACCCUCGCUGAGAAGAAGUUUCUUUUCAAAUUUAAGCGGAACCUCUUGUGUUCCAGUUUGAAGCCAUUACCCCUUGUCCUAUGGUUGGUUGUCACUGAGAAGAGCCUGGCUCCAUCCUCGUGACACUCACCCUUUAUAUAUUUCCCAAGACUUGGCAAAGAUGAUGGAGAGUGGUCCAGCAAUGACUUCAGCCAGCUCCCUCAGCACCCGCGGAUGCAUCCCAUCUGGACCCAUGGAUUUAUGGAUGUCCAGAUUGCCUAAUAGCUCCCUAACCCAGUCCUCAUCCACUAAGGCAGACUCCUCCUUUGUCCUGACUUCCUCUGGUGCCUCAGGGGUACGGGGCUCCUCAGGACAGCCUCCAGCAGAGGGUAGUACAGUAGAGAUCUGUAAAAACAGCUGGGAGCCUGACUUCCAGAAAUGCCAUAACCCUAAAAAAUGAAGUAGAUCUUCAAAUCAGGCUCUCAUUGUUGUUUGGUAAAUUAAUUCAAAUAUUUCUCUAAGUGACUGAAAAGAAGAUGCUUUGGCUCCAGAGUGAUAUGGGAAAAUGUACAAUCCAUUUGAUCUGCUUCAGAUGCCAAAACCAUCUGCAACUGCAUGUGGCAAACUCACAUUUUUCAGCUUUCUCAGGCACAUAUGAUUACGAAGAGCUUUAAAUACUUUCAGUAAAAUAGAUAAACCUUUAGUAUGCUCUUUUUGUUGUUUACUUAUCUCUCAGCAGCAUUCUGUGUGAAGAUCUUCUCCUCGAAGGCUCGGGGUGGGGUUGGCUGUGUGUCUGUGAGUCUUUCAGCGCAGAAGACUGCGUUCAGAAGUGCCUGUGGAGCAGCCAGCACGAACAGCAGCGGCUGGCACCGGGAGCGGGUCACAGAUGCUUGUCUGAACGUGCUAUUGUGCACUAUCUCCCCACAGUUUGGGCUCCAGAUGUUGCUGUACUAAAGCCACGAUCGCCACCUGCUGUCGCAAAGCCAGCCUGAGCCGGGGAGCCACAUUUUAGUGAGACCCCCGUGGAGGCCUCACCCCCCGGCCACCAGCCGCUCCCGCGAGCCAGGGCCCGCGUUCCUCACCCUCAACUGGGCACUUCUAGUGGUGCUCUCAGUUCU